CCUACGGGUGGCAGCAGUGAGGAAUAUUGGUCAAUGGACGAGAGUCUGAACCAGCCAAGUAGCGUGAAGGAUGACUGCCCGAUGGGUUGUAAACUUCUUUUAUAUGGGAAUAAAAUGUUCCACGUGUGGGAUUUUGUAUGUACCAUAUGAAUAAGGAUCGGCUAACUCCGUGCCAGCAGCCGCGGUAAUACGGAGGAUCCGAGCGUUAUCCGGAUUUAUUGGGUUUAAAGGGAGCGUAGGUGGAUUGUUAAGUCAGUUGUGAAAGUUUGCGGCUCAACCGUAAAAUUGCAGUUGAAACUGGCAGUCUUGAGUACAGUAGAGGUGGGCGGAAUUCGUGGUGUAGCGGUGAAAUGCUUAGAUAUCACGCAGAACUCCGAUUGCGAAGGCAGUUCACUGGACUGCAACUGACACUGAGGCUCGAAAGUGUGGGUAUCAAACAGGAUUAGAUACCCUUGUAGUC
rnacentral:rRNA from 1 species